GGCAGAAGGUGUGUGGCGGUCGGCGAUAUGAGCCUGGAAACUCCUUUCCAAGCAUAUUCAUUCCGCGUAACACGUUCAACAGGUGCUGAUGAUACUCAACCCAGUCAGGCCACCAGUGUGUUAUCUGUACACAUGGGAUGGCAGCAGACGAGAAGCUGAUUAUGCAGAAAUGGAUUAACCUGUUUCUGCAUGGAGGAGUCAUCCAUGAGCACCAACUAAGUCCCGGUAGUAAUUAAGAAAAAUGCAGUGAGGUACAGUCUGUACUGUGGAAAAGUUAAGCAACUGGUAGAAGUGUAUAUAGCUUAAAAAUAUGCAGUGUGCUGUGUUUGUAAUUGUUACAUUGCCAUUGAUACAUCUGAUUCAGAUGCGUUUGGAAUCUUUGGAUUGAAGAUGUAAUAGAAAAUGUUGCAGCUAAUACCUAAUGUGUCACCAUUAAUUCAAUGUUGUGAGAAACCAUUUUGCAUGUCAAUUACAGUAACUUGCAUGAUAUAUUCCAUAACUAUAUAUGCUUAACUUGCAUUAUAUAUUCCAUAACUAUAUAUGCUUUCAGUAACUGUUUUUGUAAGCAUGACUGAUUGAAAAGGAGCAGUGACUUUCUGAUGUUCUGUGCUUUACCAUAUAUUCCAUAUAUUGAACAGCCUUAGAAUGUAUUAAAGGUAACUAUAGGGAAGGAUAGAAUCAUUAUACUAUUUAUGGAUGUGUGUUUCAGAUGUUCUGUCAAAAAUUGGUAUAUGAGCAGUUCCUGGUGAAUAGAUUUUAAAUCACAGAAUUUCAUGUUUAUAGUGCAGUGCUUUUCACCAUAACCUGUACACACAUGUAUGAGGUCACUCUCAAUGUAAGACAUUGUAUGUGUUGAGACCUAGUGUGAGUCUUGCUAAGCAAUACUGCCACUCAAGCACAUGAUGAUAGGGGUAACAAGAACAGGGAAUUGAUGGUUAAGAAGCUUUUAUUUUUCUUUUGUUUUGUGUGAAUAUAAUCUGAAUAAUUAAGAUUUAUCUAUUUUUCCAUAUCAGUUUAUUAUGUAACUGUAUGAAUUUUCCUUCGUGGCGAAUUAUAUAUACAAAACAUACAGUAAGUGCAAAGACAUGCAAGGAUUUUAUCCAAAUGUAUGAAAAGUGUUGGCCUUUCUUUUCCAAGUAUUGGAUCCCCUAAAUUUGUCAAGCUUUACUUUGCAGUCAAGUCAUCAUGAAAUAAACAGUGGUCUUGAUAAA